rnacentral:tRNA from 1 species
GUUUACAUAGCUUAUAUAGAGUAUAUCAGUGAAGUUGAUGGGGAAAUUUAAAUAUAUUUAUAAACA